GACGAACGCUGGCGGCACGCUUAACACAUGCAAGUCGAACGAGAGAAGAGAAGCUUGCUUUUCUGAUCUAGUGGCGGACGGGUGAGUAACACGUGAGCAAUCUGCCUUUCAGAGGGGGAUACCGAUUGGAAACGAUCGUUAAUACCGCAUAACAUAAUUGAACCGCAUGAUUUGAUUAUCAAAGAUUUAUCGCUGAAAGAUGAGCUCGCGUCUGAUUAGCUAGUUGGUAAGGUAACGGCUUACCAAGGCGACGAUCAGUAGCCGGACUGAGAGGUUGAUCGGCCACAUUGGGACUGAGACACGGCCCAGACUCCUACGGGAGGCAGCAGUGGGGAAUAUUGCACAAUGGAGGAAACUCUGAUGCAGCGAUGCCGCGUGAGGGAAGAAGGUUUUAGGAUUGUAAACCUCUGUCUUCAGGGACGAAAAAAGACGGUACCUGAGGAGGAAGCUCCGGCUAACUACGUG
rnacentral:rRNA from 2 species